AUUGAACGCUGGCGGCAGGCCUAACACAUGCAAGUCGAGCGAGCGGCGGACGGGUGAGUAAUGCCUGGGAAACUGCCUGAUGGAGGGGGGUAACUACUGGAAACGGUAGCUUAUACCGCAUACCAUCAGAUGUGCCCAGAUGGGAUUAGCUAGUUGGUGGGGUAAUGGCUCACCUAGGCGACGAUCCCUAGCUGGUCUGAGAGGCUGACCAGCCACACUGGAACUGAGACACGGUCCAGACUCCUACGGGAGGCAGCAGUGGGGAAUAUUGCACAAUGGGCGAAAGCCUGAUGCAGCCAUGCCGCGUGUGUGAAGAAGGCCUUCGGGUUGUAAAGCACUGUCAGCGGGGAGGCGUUACCCGCAGAGGAAGCACCGGCUAACUCCGUGCCAGCAGCCGCGGUAAUUC
rnacentral:rRNA from 1 species